rnacentral:rRNA from 1 species
AGUGAACGCUGGCGGCGUGCCUAAUACAUGCAAGUCGAACGGAGUGGCGCACGGGUGAGUAAUAUAUAGCUAAUCUGCCCCUUGCUGGAGGACAACAGUUAGAAAUGACUGCUAAUACUCCAUAGGAAGGGAUGAGACGAUAUCGUAUCAGCUAGUCGGUGUGGUAACGGCCUACCGAGGCUAUGACGCGUAACUGGUCUGAGAGGAUGAGCAGUCACAUUGGAACGGAGACACGGUCCAGACUCCUACGGGAGGCAGCAGUAGGGAAUAUUGCGCAAUGGGGGAAACCCUGACGCAGCAACGGCGCGUGGAGGAUGACACUUUGCGGAGCGUAAACGCCUUUUGUUAGGGAAGCGGUACCUAACGAAUAAGCACCGGCUAACUCCGUGCCAGCAGCCGCGGUAAUUC